CACACUGCUGCAAAUCAACACUACCAUCUCCAGAACUGAAACUGUGUGUCCAUUAAACAAGAAUUCCUCAACAUGUCUCCACUCAACAGCUGGUACAUACCUCAAACAGGAAUCACUGGACCAUAGAGUAUUUUGAUGUUUAAUUUUUUGAAAAAUCACCAUAUGGUUUCCACAGUAGCUGCACCAUUUUACAUUCCCACCAGCAAUGUGAAAAGAAGCAAAAGAAAAUUUGAAAGGGGUGAUGUUCCAACAUAUCAAGUUCAUGAAGGGACAUAAUUAUGCUGUUAUGUGAAAGAAUCAACUCUGUGUGCUCAGCAGACCAUCCAGACACAUCCUAAGCAUUGUGUCUCCGAAGUAGAUCAGUUUAGCUGUGACAUCCUAUAGCAGUAUCUCUAUUAUCUGGCCUGUUCUAUUCAUCAGCAUC